GUUUGUUGUUGGAGGUAUUUAUAUCUAUCUCUGUCUCUCUUUUUCUUUGUUUUCCUUGAUUUCUUGUAAGCUUUGUUUUUCCUUCUUAUUAGACGCUUGAUGUUGGUAUUGAUCCAAGGAUGGGUGAAUUUUGUAGUUGUCAUCUUUGUUGGUACUUUCUGAUCAAUAAUUUUCAUGAUGUUUUCUUUGAAAUAUUUCCACAUGUUUUCAAUAUUACUGAAGGUCUUCUGGUUAAAAUUUUCAGCAAAUAAC
rnacentral:lncRNA from 1 species